AUUGAACGCUGGCGGCAGGCCUAACACAUGCAAGUCGAGCGGAUGAAGGGAGCUUGCUCCUGGAUCCCGCGGCGGACGGGUGUGUAAUGCCUAGGAAUCUGCCUGGUAGUGGGGUAUAACGUCCGGAAACGGGCGCUAAUACCGCAUACGUCCUGAGGGAGAAAGUGGGGGAUCUUCGGACCUCACGCUAUCAGAUGAGCCUAGGUCGGAUUAGCUAGUUGGUGGGGUAAAGGCCUACCAAGCCGACGAUCCGUAACUGGUCUGAGAGGAUGAUCAGUCACACUGGAACUGAGACACGGUCCAGACUCCUACGGGAGGCAGCAGUGGGGAAUAUUGGACAAUGGGCGAAAGCCUGAUACAGCCAGGCCGCGUGUGUGAAGAAGGUCUUCGGAUUGUAAAGCACUUUAAGUUGGGAGGAAGGGCAGUAAGUUGAUACCUUGCUGUUUUGACGGUACCAACAGAAUAAGCACCGGCUAACUUCGUG
rnacentral:rRNA from 1 species